GUUUCAUAAAACCUAGAAUCUCAAAGCUGGGUUCUCUUCAUUUUCCUCCAAUUUCACGCGUCUGAAUGUCGUUCUCACUCCCACUCUCGAAGCUGUGAAACCACCUCUCGCUCCUCCUCUUCGAUCUCUCGCUCCGCCUCUUCAAACUCUCGUUCCGCCUCUUCGAUCUCACGGUUCGCGAACCGAAACCACAAUCCGGUGUUCUCACUCUCACUCCAGCUCGCGUUGGCUCGCCUCUGAUUCAUCCUCUCGCGCCGUCGUCUUCUCACCUGCACCGCCGUCUUCUCGCCGGUUUCAUCGUUUGCUCGUCCCACGACCUGGUAAGUUCCAGUUCUCUUAUUUAGUUAGUUUCUUGCUCCUUCAAUCUUCUUUAAUCUUUACAUAAUAAUUAAUUUGAUGUAUAAUUAUUAGUUGAUUUAAGUUUUUAAUUGGUUAUUUAGUAGUUAGGUUUUGAAUUUAGGUUUUCAUUUAUCGAUCUCAAAACAUGUUUAUUUGCUUAUUAAGUUGUUAAAAACCAUACAUUAUUAGGUUUUCAUAUCCUCUAUUUUCUAGUUGUUUUUUCUUACUAAGCUAGAAUUCUAAUUUCUAAUUUCUAUUUUGUUUGAUAUUGUCAAUUGGAAAAACUCAUAUAUUGAUUCUAGAUAAAAUUGUUGUAUAGAGUAGUAAUUAAUUUGAUACAAAAUAAGAAGAUUUAAAAAAGAUUUUAUGAUAACAAUUCUAGUUCAAAUGAAAUCAGACAUGGUGGACUUGCUGUCAAACAGUGAUAAGGUAUGGUGUCUCACUCUUUCUCUAAUUUAUUUUCUAUUUUCCCCCUUGAAAAAUAGCAGAUUAGGUAUUUUCUUUACUGGAAUGUGGAAGAAAGAAAAUAUAUAUAUAUUUGUUAUGAUUUUCCAUUCUAACAAAUGUCCUUCUGUUCUUGUUUGAGAUCAAUUAGUUAUUCUUGUUUAAAGUUGCUUCUGUUAUUCAAAUCCUUCUGAAUUUAUUGUUUGUAUUUACACAAUUUUUCUGAUGUACUGCUGCGAUGAGUUCUGUUUUUUUUUUUAUUUUAGUAGACUCUAGUUAUGUUUUCUCCUCUUUUUACUCUUUAUUUUUGUUUGAAUAUUUUAACAAAUAGAACUGGAAUCUGUGUAGUCUUAAAUCCUCAAUUUGAUUGCUCCUGGCAUAGAAGGACUUGUAUAUAGUUCUUUAAAAUUGGACAAUUUAAUAUCACUCUUAAUCAGGUUUGCCUUUUUGUUAACUUUUUUUUCCUUUCCAAUUUUCCAUUUCUGUUUUUGUUAACCAAUCUUUGCAUAAUGCUACUAGACUUGAUUAAUUAGUAUGAGAGGAUCAGAAUGUCUAUCUUGUUCUUUUAAUUUUUCAAAAAAAAAAAAUUCAAAUAUUAAGGAGCUGAGUCCAUGAAGGUGAAUGAAUGAUAAAGUAAUUAAACCUGUUGCUAUACACAAAAAAUAUGAACAGUUGAGCUAAUUAUAUAUGUGUCACACUUUGCUCAUAGUCAUUCUUUUAAGCUACUUUUUAGAAGGUAAUAAUAGAAAGCUAAUAAACUUUUUUGCUAUAGCAAUUAUGUUUUGCAGCCAAGCUAAACUGAUAAAUAAUGCUUUAGUUUCUGUGAUGAGAAUAAUGAAAUACAGAUGGAGAUUCAGACUUGAGAGUACAGAAAUUUAAAGAUAAAUGGAUUGCAAUAAAGAAAUAAUAUUGUUGAAAUAUAAUAGUGUGAAAUGAAUUGUUGGCAUGUAGCUAGUGGGAUUCACACUCUUAUAUCUUACUAGAAAGAGGUUAAUAGUGUAGUGACCCGUGAACCUAUCUUUGGGCUAUUUUGUCAUGUUCUUUUCAACUUGUAUAUUUAUGUUGGUUCCUAAAUUGAUGGUGCUUAUUGUUCCCUAUUAUUCACUUUGAUACUCUGCAUUCUGCAAUGUUUGAGUGACCAAUUCAUCAAGCAUGUGCUGUGCACUCACCUUACCUCAUCUUCACAACUCUACACUCAAAAUCAAAAUCAUUCAUUCCCUGCUUACGGCUUCUUGUAACUAACAAAAAUUAUUACUACAUCAGAUUAAUUGAUAAAUUUAUUAUCUAAUAUUUGCUCAACCUAUUUAAUUUCGGUUACUCCUUUCAAUUUUUGCCACAUAAGUUUCAGAUUUUACACAGAUUCUGUUUCUGAAUUACAAAUUCAAGAGAGAGCUGGACUGACGAAGAACACGACAAGUUUCUAAAAUCUCUUCAGCUGUUAGUGUCUAAUUUCCACGAUUCUAUUUUUAUUUCUUAUUUUCUUUCUUCUUUUAUUAGGACAAAAUAAAAUUGCAUUUAUAUGUUUUUUAAUGGUAUUAAUUUGAGAGCUGAUCUCAUCUACAAAAUAAUUGUGUAAAUAUUUCAAGGUUUUUGAUACAAGGUUAUAGUUUCCUAGCUCUGUUUAUGUGUUUGUAACACUAAUAUAAUAUUUUUACAUAGCAAAAGACACCAAGGAAGCUUAACUUUGUGUAAUUGUUAUUACUUAUUAUUAUAUGCAUCAUGCAUGCUAUUGUUUCUUGAUUUUUCUAGUGAUUGAACCCUUCUUCCUUUCUGACUACGCAUUUCUCUUUAGUUUAACUAUAAUAAAAUUAUUAUUUUUAAUUUCCUGAAUUGCUCAGUCACACCAAAGGUAACAUAAAUUGUUAUGUGACUGGCAAAGAGAACGAGAACCCUGCUGUUUUACUGGAGAUACACUGGUAAACUCACUGAUCAAUCUUAUCUUUCUCAUCUUGAGUUCUUUCAUGUCCUAAAGAGUUGUUCCCUGGGAAGUAUAUUUUACUCAACCUCUUGAGGUCAGUUUAUGUAGCUUUUCGUUUUAGCUGUCUUUAUCUCCAUGAUCCAUUAACACUUGUAUUUACGUUCUAGAAUGAUAAAGUGGCCUUAAUUUAUUGUUAGACGUUUGUCUUUCUUUGGUUUAUUUUUAGCUCUUGUAAUAAGCUUCACUUUAUUGUGUUGAACUCUUUCUUUCAAAAUAAAAAUAAAAAAUACCAAAAGAAGACCUUAAUUUAUUGUGUUGUUGCUUUUUGUAGUUCAUUGCAGGCUGUGGGAGAUUUUUUGAAGGAACUGCAGAAUAGAUGUAUGAGUCACUCUGUGUAACACUAGGUUCAUUACCAAAGCCAACCCUCGUUUACUGUGGCCAUGAGGUAAAAUAACACUAAAAUCUGCGGCCAUCAGUUCUUCAUUAGAUAGACCAGAUGUCUUUGGAACAAAGCACAUUGAAAAUUUCUACAAAGGAGUUGUUGAAACUUAUGAAUCGGCAAAGUAUUUGUCUAAGUCCUGCACUUCAAAAUAUGGUGUUGGCCUGGAGCUUCCUCAAAGUACAACAACAAUAAGACAAAUGAUGCUGUAAAGUGAAAGGUGAAGAAGCAGAAUAAAAAAGAAAAAAAUUGGAAGUUGAAAGGGAACAUGCACUAGUGAUAAUUCGUUAUGGAUUGAUGAACGGAUAUUUUAUACGCUUUUUGGGGGGUAAUUUCAUGUAGAUUUU